CAUCCGAUUUUCCUGUUGCAGGGGAGAUUUGUGAUGGUCUAAAAACGAAAAGUAGGGGAAAGGGGGAAAAGGGGACGGAUGCUGUCUGGUAGAGUUGUUACUUGCUGCCACUGUCAGGUGAUCCAAGAGUAUUAGCAGACCUGUUUUGCUUUGGCGAAUUCACUUAUAACAUGCUCCCGGCAUGCGAGAAGUAACAACUGAUUUUGAGUUUCGAGUUGAAAUCUGAGAAGGAAAAUGCAGAGAUCAGAUUGUCUGACCCUCUGCAAUACCAAUCAAUUGUUGACGCUGAGUGGAACAUUAUUUAUGAUAAACUGGAUAAAUGUGUGAAAAGUGGAGCAAAGAUAGUUCUGUCUCGGCUAGCUAUUGGUGAUCUUGCAACACAGUAUUUUGCAGAUCGAGACAUUUUAUGUGCUCGCCGUGUCACUGAAGAAGAUUUGCAACGUGUUGCUACAGCAACUGGUGGAACUGUUCAAACUUCUGUAAAUAAUGUCGUCGAUGAUGUACUCGGGUCCUGUGAGGUAUUCGAGGAAAAGCAAGUAGGCAAUGAAAGGUUCAAUAUAUUUAGUGGUUGCCCUUCUGGCCAGACAAUGACUAUUGUUCUCCGUGGUGGUGCAGACCAGGUCUUCUAUUGAUAAACUUAUGUUAGCCAUUAUCUAUUUUAAGAUGUUACAGAUGUUCUUAUAUUUCUUUGAUUCUGUAGACAUCUUUAUUACAUUAUUUUUAGCCUUUUUUCUUCUCGUUAGCAUAAAAGUGGUCCUACUUCUUAGUUUAUUUUACAAAGCUGUUCCAACUUUAAUUAUGCGCAGUGCUACUGAAUCAUCCAUGGUGUCGACAGUUUUUGGUUAUUGCCGCUUCCAAAGGUUUCCAACAAGAACAAAUUGGUUUUAUGUGGUGCAUGAAUAUUUAAUAAUUGGAAGCGGUUUCUCUUGGUUAACUUGUUCUGCUACAACUAUUAUCAUGACAUCCUUAAACUGACACAAAACUAUUAUUCAUUGUUGGUUGUGCAUAUAACUUGAGUCUGAGUUGUUGUCUUUCCUUAGUGCAUUUUCCAGUGGAAAUAGCUGGGCAGUGGAAAUUGCUCCAUCUGUCAAUGGGGAGAACAUUAGUUUACUGAUGCUGGGCAGUGGCAACAUUACAUAACAUACAUGCACGAGGAAAUGCAGAGAAAGUAGUUUACUGAUGCCGCCCAUUCUGCCCGUCAUAAACGAUUACAUCUGUUUCCGAGGUGUAUGUAAAUGCAAUGUUGUGGAUCUGAGUUCUAAAAACUGGGGAAUAUGAAAGGUUUGAUCAAGCCAUUGGGUGUGUCAUCAGCUUCUUUCUUUCUUUUUUCCCCCUUACAACUGGUUGUGCUCAGCUGGGUUUCUUCAAGGUACAGUUAUAUCUUAUAUGUUAAGAUUCAGACGACAAAAAAAGGAGUGCAUGGAAUGUUUCAGAUAAUUAACAUAACAGCUAAAUGAAGAUCACUAGCCCUUGGGUUCCAAUACUGUUAGCAAAAGAGUGAGCAAUUCAUGGAAGCUCAGAGUGAAAACGAACACCACUGUCUGAACUGGCGCCGUUUUGACAGACUUGCGACGUACUGUAAGUGAUAAAAAAGGUGUGUGUUUGGACUUCGGAGUAUACAAUUGACCAUUAGCAAAGGUGAUUUGCGUUGACUCUCUACGAAACUAACAUCGAUAGACUAGCUAGCUAACAACAUUUUCAAGUCCAGUAAAAACCAUACCUGUCUUUAGCUACAGACGACUACCAGUCUACCAAGCAUGAGGCCUCGUACAGUCUGCAUGCCUGAUCCGUGCCUUCUACCAGAUACGAGAUCCUGAACUGAUCAAUAGCACUAACUGCUCACGAAGUACGAUUCAAACAACCAAUGACCCUGUACCUACGCUGCACAACGACCAAUUACCUGCAUAUACCAAUCCUAUUCGGCGCACCAAACACUCCGCCCAAAUCUCGUUUUUUCCGUGGCGACCUGGCCCAUGUCAUCAUGCAUGCCGCAGUGGAAACAGCUCCAUCUGUCAAUGGGGAGAACGAAUCUCCAAGGAUAAUCUGUCGAUGGUUUGCUCUGAAACAUUCCAUAUAAGAACGAAAUUUUGACAAGCUCCAUCUUAUAUGUACUGUCGACAGGAAUGCCAAUUUUGACAAGCUCCAUCUUAUAUGUACUGUCGACAGGAAUUCCGAGUCUAGGCUCAAGUACAUCUGCCAUGGCGGCACGCUCGGCACGAGGAUGGUUCGGGCAGACGCCGCGGCCAUCAACUUGGACCGGAGGCUCCACCAACUUCUCAAUGAGCAUGAGGAGUCCGAGAGUCGUGCCGACCAUGCGACAGCAAUCCCUGUGCAGGAAUGGGGGCAGAGGAGGUACUCGGUGGUGACCGUGAGGUGCCGUGAUCGCCCUAAGCUGCUCUCGCCCCCGUCGAUGCGUCGUGGUAGUUGUCAUCCUCUCCCCUCACCCACUCACUACCACCACUUCGGCUGAUUCGGGUCGUCCGCCCGCCUGAAGGUAGGCACGCACGCGGAAGCCUCCAACACACGCAACCCGGCGGUGCUCCCCCUUCAUUGGGCCUGGCUUCAGCGUCGGCGUCUACUCUCUACUAGGACUAGGAUCGCGUACACCAAAAGUCGAGCCCCGCCAUGCGCGCACGUCAGAGUCGCACCAACCUCCGUCCCGCUAGACCUGCUUCUGCUGGGCUCGCCCAGCCUCAAGGUGCUCAUCCUCCCCAACAAACAACGGGGUGUCCGUGGAGAUCUCUAUCGGCUUCGCAGCCUCCCGGCUGCUCCACAUCGACCUCGCGUGGAACGUGCUCGCUGGUAUGCUCCCGCUGUUGCCACCCACGCUACGGUACUUGUCAGUCGCUGGCGACACGAUGGAGGGCACACUGGAGGGGCCUUCUGCUCUGGUGAAGCUAGAGAUGGUGACUAUGCCAGUUCGCCCCUACCUCCCGACCAGGCGUUCCUGGACCUGUCCAUGAAUGACUUAAUUUUAAUAGAUUAGAUAUCAUUCAUUUUUCUCAACUUCGAGAGAACCAUUGGCUUUCGUUGCGAUCUAAUACAGCAAAACACCUCAUUCCUAUACAGUUUUCUUGGUUCAAAAUUUGGGCAUUCAGAAUGCAUUAUGGUGAUGUUCGUAGACCCUGAAUACAUUUGUUGUUGUAUUUCACAGGAAAAGAAUGAAGUAAUACAAAAGCAACUUGAAACCCUUUCAUUACUCGACAAAAGAAAGGCUACAACAGUACAACGCCAAAGCUGGUGACUGAUAAGGUUCCCAGUGUAUCGGGUGCACCUCUAAGCUCUGGUCAAAUGAUUGUUGUUGUACAGCAGCAAACACCAGAUUACGUGGCUUUUUUCUUAUUUUUGUUGAUUAAACUACAUGGCUUCUUCUUAUUUUUGUUGCUAAAGAAAAGUAAAAGAAAAGGUUACUUUGCACAGGGACAUGUUCCAAGUUUUUCUAUGUCUUGGGUAAGCAAGUGAUUUGGAAAUGUUUAUACAUGACAGGUGUUGCAUGUCUGUAAUAGCAAACUCUGGUUAUUGUUCUAUUGUUUUCUGUCAGAAAUUUUGCUUUGAAAUUGAACUUCGUUAAGUGGAAGUAUAAUUUACUCAUCUCGAGGGAAUGAAACAUGUUUGGUUGAUUGUCGUUAUAGCUAGCCACUUAGCCUCUCUGAUAAUAUUCUUAGAUGUACUUCUAUAUAUGCUGCAGGACAUUGAGAGUGAUGAUGAGGACCUUGAUGAUGAGGUUGAUGAUGGAGCUGAGGAUGAGGACCUUUGCUUAUAUUAUACCGAAUCCUUCUACAAGGAAUGGGAAUUCAUGUAGGCAAACUUGCUCUAUACACUGCUCUUGGAGGAUUUGAUCCAUCGGUUGUAAGCGUUCAUCAUCCUUUAGUUUAUUGCCUUCUGAAUUGUACUGAUUUGAAAAUAUGAAUGUUUGCAGGGCCAACAUCAGUGGUCCUUGCAGGUUUAUUAGCAACACUCAAGAUGGUUCGUGGUACCCUGACAGAGCAGACUUAUUUGUUCCUUAGUGCUGGGGAGUGACACAAGGCAUACAGAAAUACAGUACCUACCCCUAGGCAUUGGUCUCAAAAGUGGAAGUUCUUGCAG